GCAAGCCGAACGGCAGCGGGUCCUUCGGGAUGCCGGCGAGUGGCGCACGGGUGCGUAACGCGUAUGCAACCUACCUUUGACAGGGGGAUAGCCCGGGGAAACCCGGAUUAAUACCCCAUGGUAUUAUUUAAAUCGCAUGGUUUAAUAAUUAAAGAUUUAUUGGUCAGAGAUGGGCAUGCGUCCGAUUAGCUAGUUGGUGAGGUAACGGCUCACCAAGGCGAUGAUCGGUAGGGGUUCUGAGAGGAUGAUC
rnacentral:rRNA from 1 species